rnacentral:rRNA from 1 species
CCUACGGGGGGCAGCAGUGAGGAAUAUUGGUCAAUGGGCGGAAGCCUGAACCAGCCAAGUAGCGUGCAGGAUGACGGCCCUACGGGUUGUAAACUGCUUUUAUACGGGAAUAACGCGCCUUACGUGUAGGGCUUUGCAUGUACCGUAUGAAUAAGGACCGGCUAAUUCCGUGCCAGCAGCCGCGGUAAUACGGAAGGUCCGGGCGUUAUCCGGCUUUAUUGGGUUUAAAGGGCGCGUAGGCCGCAUGUCAAGCGUGCUGUGAAAUGUGCGGGCUCAACCCGGGCCUUGCAGCGCGAACUGGCGUGAGUGAGUCCGCGGAAAGCAGGAGGAAUUCGUCGUGUAGCGGUGAAAUGCUUAGAUAUGACGAAGAACCCCGAUUGCGAAGGGAGCUUGCUGCAGCGGAACUGACGCUGAUGCUCGAAAGCGCGGGUAUCGAACAGGAUGAGAUACCCGAGUAGUC